UACGUAGGCAGCGAGCGUUGUUCGGAGUUACUGGGCGUAAAGCGUGCGUAGGCGGUGUCUUAAGUUUGUUGUGAAAUCUCCCGGCUUAACCGGGAGGGUGCGGCGAAUACUGAGAUGCUGGAGUGCCGGAGAGGUAAGCGGAAUUCCUGGUGUAGCGGUGAAAUGCGUAGAUAUCAGGAGGAACACCGGUGGCGAAGGCGGGUCUCUGGACAGUUCCUGACGCUGAGGCACGAAGGUCAGGGGAGCAAACGGG
rnacentral:rRNA from 1 species